rnacentral:tRNA from 1 species
GUCCCGGUAGCUCAGCGGAUUAGAGCAGAGGGCUUCUAUCCCUCGUGUCGGGGGUUCGAUUCCCUCCCGGGAUACCA